UACAUGGGGUGCAAACGUUGCUCGGAAUUAUUUGGCGUAAAGCGCACGUAGGUGGUUUGUUAUGUCGGAUGUGAAAGCCCUCGGCUCAACUGAGGAAGUGCAUCCGAAACUGGCAAGCUAGAGUAUGUAAGAGGGUCGCGGAAUUCCCGGUGUAGAGGUGAAAUUCGUAGAUAUCGGGAGGAACACCGGUGGCGAAGGCGGCGACCUGGGACAAUACUGACACUGAGGUGCGAAAGCGUGGGGAGCAAACAGG
rnacentral:rRNA from 1 species